AAGAAAGAGAGAUGGAACAAAGCUUUCAUAACAUGGUAAUUUCACCUUUCAGUGCCUUGCUUUUUAUAGGAAUUGCAGGGUCACUGCAGCAAAAUAUUACAUGUAAAACACAACUAGGACUUACUGAACGAAAAUUGAAACAACAACUUAUUUGAACUUCUAUUCCUUAGUAGAUAGAGCAACAACAACAAUAACAACGCCUUAUUGGAGCUUCUGUUCUUAGUAGACGGAGCAGCAACAACAAUGAGGACUUACUGAACCUUACUAUUUUUGGUAAGAAAUUCGAGCACGAGUUGAUUAACCUCGUCAGGUAGUUGUUCUUGAACAAAAUGGUUUCCUUCUGGCAAGUUAACUAUCUGCAGAUUAGGGACUAAACUUUUGAGGACUCCACUACUAAUGUAAUCUUCGAUGCCUGGAAAUUUGAGGAAAUAAUCUUUCUCUCCCUUAAUAUACAGUGCUUGAACGUGAACGGUUGGAUCUGUUAUGUUGACUUGUUCAUGCAGUGACCUAUAGGGAACCUGCAAUGCAGUUCGGAAUCCAGAUUUUUCGUACAAAGCUCCAUACGCAGCCAGGUCUUCCUCGGAGAACCAAGGGGGCAGAGGAGUUGAAGGUUGCACAAUGUCCAUGAUUUCCUGAUCUUCAUUGGCUAUUGGUAAUUCACUUCUGGAGAAAAGAAUGUAUACAUUCCUCACUACUGUUUUGGCGUCAAGACGACCAAAAUCAGCUUCAGCUCUCCCAGGUAUCCCAAAUCUCGAAAUAUAGAAUCCUUCAGGGAGGCCUUUUUUAAACUCAAGAGGUUUUGGAGGCAAAAAUGGCACCCCCAUAACAAUAAAUCCAGAGACUCUCUCCUUGUGGAGAAUGGAAAAAUACGAAAUGACAAAAGAUCCAAAGUCUUUACCAACGAGAAAAACCUUAGAGAUAUUAAGAGCAUCAAGAAGUGCAAGGAGGUCACUGACAAGAUCGAGGAAUGUGGUUUUCUCGGGUUGGGUUGGUUGAUCCGAUAACCCAUAUCCUCUGUAAUCGGGUGCAAUAGCUCUGUAACCCGCUUUAGCUACAGCUUUCAUCUGGUACCUCCAAGAAUACCAAAUUUCAGGGAAUCCAUGUAAGAACACCACAACUGGAGAAAACCCACUUCCAAUUUCAGCUAUAUGGAGCUUUAGACCAUUCACUUCAAUGUAUUUGUGCUCUAUUUCUUCCAUUUUUUGCUUUAUUUGUAAGAAGAUUGAUCAAGUUUGUAUGGGAUUUUAUAAUAACUUUAGUAGAGUGACUUCAUAUAAUAGUCUUUUCUUUAAUUGUUUAAUUUUU
rnacentral:misc_RNA from 1 species